rnacentral:lncRNA from 1 species
UUUGGUUGGAGAAUUCCCCAUCAUCUAUAUUGUGUAUCAACAAUGGUGUGGUGUGAAAAUAGCCAGACUCACAGGACCAGCUGAGAAUAGGAAGAUCUUAAGAGGAAGAGAUGUGCUAGUCCUAGACCUGCUGACAGGGAGAACCAUCAGAGGAUCACACCGAUAUAUGGCUAGAGAUGUUGAGAUAAGUGAACUGAUGCUAGGCACCAGGGAAGUCCAUGUAAAUUAUCCCAGACAAAGAGCCCCAGGGAUGAGCUCUCACAGUUUCCCACAGUUCAGAGUGCAUUCCUGCAGUGUGCACAGAGGAGGACCUCUGCUGCUCACCAGUGCCUGGGAGAAGAGCUGGGGUGGAGGGGGGAGCAGAAGAUGCUCAACUUCCCCCAACCUCAUCCUGUUCCUGGACAUGGAUCAACUCAGCUGGAUCCAACACUCUACAUCUUCCUGAGCAGACCUCAGAAGUAGGGUAGCUGAGCUCUCAGAAGUACCAGAAGUAUUGGCAGUUGUAAGAGACAAGUGACACCAGAAGAAAUAUGAGAGAUUAUUAAUGGAUACCCAUGAUCGGCUUGCCUCGUUUUUCAGAGGAAUUUUCCAGAUGUUGCAGUAGCCUCACAUCAGCUUGCAAGGUUAUUAAAUUGGUUUCAUGCUGAUUUAUUAUUACUUCAUCUUUUCAUUUUUGCUUAUUACUGUUACUUGUGUACUUUUAUACUUACUUUCUACAGAGGAAACCAUGGACACAUUUUUCAAAUGCAAUCCUUUCACUUUCUUCAACAGUAACAGAUGACAGUCUCCACCCGCCUUUUGAGAUAAACCCUGUUUUCUGCUUUAGAACUUUGGUCCACCUAAAACUGAAAAAUAGUGAAUAUGACACAUGUAGAGCCCUUGUGUUCACGAAUAAAUAAUAGGGUGUUUGAUUACUUAGUCA